CAAUAGCGUAUAUUUAAGUUGCUGCAGUUAAAAAGCUCGUAGUUGGAUUUCGGGUGGGAAUGGCCGGUCCGCCGUUUCGGUGUGCACUUGCUACGCCCACCUUGCUGCCGGGGACGUGCUCUUGAGUUCACGCUCGGGACACGGAGUCGGCGAGGUUACUUUGAUUAAAUUAGAGUGUUCAAAGCAGGCCUACGCUCUGAAUACAUUAGCAUGGAAUAACACGAUAGGACUCUGGCCUAUCUUGUUGGUCUGUAGGACCGGAGUAAUGAUUAAGAGGGACAGUCGGGGGCAUUCGUAUUUCAUUGUCAGAGGUGAAAUUCUUGGAUUUAUGAAAGACGAACUACUGCGAAAGCAUUUGCCAAGGAUGUUUUCAUUAA
rnacentral:rRNA from 1 species